CAUGUCAUGUGAGAGAGAGAGGAGGCCAUAUAGAACAUAGUGAUUUGUAGUAUUGGGUGUUAGGUAUAGGGCCAAACCCCAUAAAAACUUGCAAAAGUAGUUUUGGUUGUGUUUACUGAUGAUAGAUAAGGAAUAGGAGAUGCGGUGUGGUGGGGAAGGGAGUUUUUAUUUAGUUUCAAAGCAUGAAAUGAUGGUGCCGAUGACCAUGCUUAUCAUUGUCAUACACCUCAAUCUCUUUCCAGCUCUACUUCCAUCCAUGUGACUCUCCCUCUCUCUCUCUCUUCCCCCACAUCUCUCACUAUUCACUUGCUACUACUACUAUCUACUAAGCUGCCUAUGCCUGCCUGCUAGGUUAAUAAUGUUCAAAUGACUCCAAAUAAUCUGUCAUUCUGCACUGCACUCCAUACAAACCUUUCUAUCCAUUAUUUUUCAAAGGUUCCCUACUUGCGGGAGGCCCAUUUUCAAGUUUUAACAGAUCAGCCCAUGUGGAAUCCCCCCCCCC
rnacentral:lncRNA from 1 species